UGAAAGGUCAUUGUCUGCCAAAAUGAUGG
rnacentral:piRNA from 1 species